rnacentral:tRNA from 1 species
CAUCAAAUAACUAAAUAAAGUAUUGGUCUCUUAAACCACUAAUAGUAUGUCCCAAUUACUUUUGAUGA